GAUCCUGGCCUUUCUAUCAACUGUUUUCCGAUUUACACAUGCAAGUAUCCGCACAACCGUGAGAAUGCCCUCUAACCUCCACCAGACCGAGGAGCCGGUAUCAGGCACAGAUCUCUUGCCCACAACACCUAGUCUUACCACGCCCCCAAGGGUAAUUCAGCAGUGAUAAAUAUUGUGCAUAAGCGACAGCUUGACUCAAUCAGGAAAGACAGAGCUGGCCAAUACGGUGCCAGCCGCCGCGGCUAUACCGCUAAGCUCAAGUUGAUAGUUUUCGGCGUUAAGCGUGGUUAAAGAUUUUUUUACUAGAGUUAAAUAGAAACUUAGCUGUUAUAAGCUUGUUAACAAGAAACCUAAAAACGAAAGUUACUCUAUUAUUCCUUGAACCCACGACAAUUAGGAUACAAACUGGGAUUAGAUACCCCACUAUGCCUAAUCGUAAAAAAUUAACUUACAUUACUCGCGCCGGGGUAUUACAAGCUAAGCUUCAAACCCAAAGGAUUUGACGGUGUCCCACCCACCUAGAGGAGCCUGUCCUAUAACCGAUGACCCGCGUUUUACCUUACCGCUUCUCGCUCUCAGCCUGUAUACCUCCGUCGUAAGCUUACCAUGUGAAUGUAAUAGUACGCUUAAUGAUUUCCCAUCAAUACGUCAGGUCAAGGUGCAGCUUAUGAAGCGGACAGAGAUGGGCUACAAUUUCUAUAUUAGAACAAACGAAACAGCAAGAUGAAACCUGCUGUGAAGGUGGAUUUAGUAGUAAAAAGAAAAUAGUAUGUUCUUUUUAAUCUGGCCCUGGGACGUGUACACACCGCCCGUCACCCUCUUCGAUAGCUUUGUUUAACGUUUAUAACUAACUUUUCGCGCCUUAGAAGAGGCAAGUCGUAACAUGGUAAGUGUACUGGAAAGUGCACUUGGAUAAACAAAAUGUAGCUUAAUAUAAAGCAAUUCGCUUACACCGAAAAAAUGUCCAUUAACUUGGGCCAUUUUGAGCCUAAAAUCUAGCCCAAACUACCACAUGCAAAAACCCCUCAUCUCACAUAAAACAAAACAUUUUACCAUUUUAGUAAGAGUGACUAAAAAACUUAUAUGGAGCAAAAGAACCAGUACCGCAAGGGAACGAUGAAAUAGAAUUGAAAUAACCUUCAAGCAACAAAAAAGCAGAGCCCCCCCCCCUCGUACCUUUUGCAUCAUGAUCUAGCUAGUUAGCCUUAGCAAAACAAACUUUUAGUUAAACCCCCCGAAACUGAGUGAGCUACUUCGAAAUAGCUUCCAAGAGCCAACCCGUCUCUGUCGCAAAAGAGUGGGAAAAUUUUUAAGUAGCGGUGAUAAGCCUACCGAACUCAGAGAUAGCUGGUUAUUCAGGAAAAGAAUUUUAGUUCUACCUUAAAGCGACCCAUUACACAAAACAAUAAUUUAAGCCUUAAGAUUUAUUUAAACAAGGCACAGCUUGUUUAAAACAGGACACAACCUAGAAAACAGGGUAAAACUUCACUUACGAACCAAGUGGGCCUAAAAGCAGCCAUCUUUUAAAAAGCGUUAAAGCUUAAUUUUAUUCUAUUUAUUAAUCCCAAAAAUAAACUUCAACCCUUUCUCACUACUGAAUGACUUUAUAAUCAUAUAAAACCGAUUCUGCUAGAACUAGUAACAAGAAAUUGACUUUCUCCUAAAUAUAAGCUUACCCCAAUAUUGACCGACUACUGGUACUUAACGUAAAUGAUUUUACUGUAAUAACUAACCACAGCAAAUUUUACAACUUUCAACGUUACCCUAACACAAGAAUAUUUUAGGAAAGAUUAAAAGAGAGAGAAG
rnacentral:ncRNA from 1 species